rnacentral:rRNA from 1 species
GUGUCAGCAGCCGCGGUAAUACGGAGGGUGCAAGCGUUAUCCGGAUUCACUGGGUUUAAAGGGUGCGUAGGUGGAUUGGUAAGUCAGUGGUGAAAUCUCCGGGCUUAACUCGGAAACUGCCAUUGAUACUAUCAGUCUUGAAUACCGUGGAGGCCAGUAGAAUAUGUCAUGUAGCGGUGAAAUGCUUAGAUAUGACAUAGAAUACCAAUUGCGAAGGCAGCUGGCUACGCGAAUAUUGACACUCAGGCACGAAAGCGUGGGGAUCAAACAGGAUUAGAAACCCGCGUAGUCC